CUCAGGUGAUCAAAGAUUGGAAGAAUUAUACCAAAUAUGCACAAAGAAAGGCUCAUGAGCUGUAGUAAAUUGAUAAUCUAUAACAUUGCUACUAUUGGAAAUGUGUAUAUCAUAUUUGAGAUUAAUGUAUAACAUACUUAGGAUACCAAUUCCUAUCCUAUUUUUUUAGAGAAUGAGUUUUAAUCUGUCUCUUAUUUGUAACAUUUUUGAUAAUAUAUAUUUUUAAUUCUCGCGAAUAAAAUCUUUCUCUUUAGAUGAACUUUGUGUGGCCCAAUAAAGCCAAACUACUUGCCGAGGAGCAUAAGGUUGAUUCAAAUCAGCAUCAGAAUCCACAAUCCUCUCUCACUCUGGGACCAUUCCUUAGUGGCUGAGCCCCCACAGGAACUUCUUGAAUAUAAGUAUUUUCAUCCUAUUAACUCGUUAGAAUAGCUUUAAAUGCUUCCAGAGAACUGCUAUGAUUCUAUUCUAUUCUGACCCAACCUAAUUACUGUUUUGUUCCUUUGCAGUUUGAAUUGACUUGUUUUUUGCUCAGCUCUCCUUCUUCUUUACUUACUACGUAAUGUUGAUGAUUAACCUGAAGAUGAUAGUAUGUUUGUAAAAUGUUGGGAAAGCUGGCAAGAUUUCAAAUAUUCAAGUAUCAUGAAAAAAAGGAGAGAGAGAAUUCUUUCAUUUAUACGUUCUUUUGAAAGCAGACACACACAUCAACUGACUAACCCAAUUAUGGUCUCAUGGCAAGGCCUCUGAUUGUGUCACAUCCUCUAAGAUCCAAUGGCUGAAGAAAGUCACAUGGUUAAGCUCAGUAUCAAGGAGUCGUAGAAAGAUCUUCAAAUGUACAUGGCAGAGGAUAUUGAAUUAAGGAAGGGUAAAGAAUUGGACCAAUAAUGCAAUCACUCUCUCACACAUUCUACUGCUUAUUUCGUUUUACUUGAGAAAUCACUCUAUUGCUAUAUUGAUAGCUACCAAAACAAAAAACCAAAACCAAAACCACAGAAAACAAUAUUCCAACCAUACAGAGAAAAUACAAUUUCUGCCCCAAUAGCAUAACUUGGAUGCUAUCACACUUCAAUAAGAUUUUGCAUACUAUUUGUAUAACAGAUGAGAUUAAAUUAUAUACUGCAU
rnacentral:lncRNA from 1 species